AUUGAACGCUGGCGGCAUGCUUUACGCAUGCAAGUCGAACGGUAACAGGUCUUCGGAUGCUGACGAGUGGCGAACGGGUGAGUAAUGCAUCGGAACGUGCCCAGUCGUGGGGGAUAACGCAGCGAAAGCUGCGCUAAUACCGCAUACGAUCUAUGGCAGAAAGCGGGGGACCGUAAGGCCUCGUGCGAUUGGAGCGGCCGAUGUCAGAUUAGGUAGUUGGUGGGGUAAAGGCCCACCAAGCCAACGAUCUGUAGCUGGUCUGAGAGGACGACCAGCCACACUGGGACUGAGACACGGCCCAGCCUCCUACGGGAGGCAGCAGUGGGGAAUUUUGGACAAUGGGCGCAAGCCUGAUCCAGCAAUGCCGCGUGCAGGAAGAAGGCCUUCGGGUUGUAAACUGCUUUUGUACGGAACGAAACGGCUCUCUCUAAUACAGGGGGCUAAUGACGGUACCGUAAGAAUAAGCACCGGCUAACUACGUGCCAGCCGCCGCAGUAACAC
rnacentral:rRNA from 1 species